rnacentral:rRNA from 1 species
CAAUAGCGUAUAUUAAAGUUGUUGCGGUAAAAAAGCUCGUAGUUGGAUUUCUGUUGAGAGCGACCGGUCCAUACCAUGUAUGCGUAUCUGGCUUGCUCUCGGCAUCCUCUCGAUAGACGUUACUGCGCUUGAUUGCGUGGUGCGGAUCUCGGGACUUUUACUUUGAGGAAAUUAGAGUGUUCACGGCAGGCUUUCGCCAGAAUACAUUAGCAUGGAAUAAUACUAUAGGAUCUUGGUUCUAUUUUGUUGGUUUCUAGAAUUGAGAUAAUGAUUAAUAGGGACAAGUGGGGGCAUUCGUAUCAACACGUCAGAGGUGGAAUUCUUGGAUUGUGUUGCGACGAACUACUGCGAAAGCAUUUGCCAAGGAUGUUUUCAUUGA